rnacentral:rRNA from 1 species
AGUGAACGCUGGCGGUAGGCCUAACACAUGCAAGUCGAACGGCAGCACAGUAAGAGCUUGCUCUUACGGGUGGCGAGUGGCGGACGGGUGAGGAAUACAUCGGAAUCUACUUUUUCGUGGGGGAUAACGUAGGGAAACUUACGCUAAUACCGCAUACGACCUACGGGUGAAAGCAGGGGAUCUUCGGACCUUGCGCGAUUGAAUGAGCCGAUGUCGGAUUAGCUAGUUGGCGGGGUAAAGGCCCACCAAGGCGACGAUCCGUAGCUGGUCUGAGAGGAUGAUCAGCCACACUGGAACUGAGACACGGUCCAGACUCCUACGGGAGGCAGCAGUGGGGAAUAUUGGACAAGGGCGCAAGCCUGAUCCAGCCAUACCGCGUGGGUGAAGAAGGCCUUCGGGUUGUAAAGCCCUUUUGUUGGGAAAGAAAAGCAGCAGGUUAAUACCCCGCUGUUCUGACGGUACCCAAAGAAUAAGCACCGGCUAACUUCGUG